GACGAACGCUGGCGGCGUGCUUAACACAUGCAAGUCGAACGGAAAGGCCCUGCUUUUGUGGGGUGCUCGAGUGGCGAACGGGUGAGUAACACGUGAGUAACCUGCCCUUGACUUUGGGAUAACUUCAGGAAACUGGGGCUAAUACCGGAUAGGAGCUCCUGCUGCAUGGUGGGGGUUGGAAAGUUUCGGCGGUUGGGGAUGGACUCGCGGCUUAUCAGCUUGUUGGUGGGGUAGUGGCUUACCAAGGCUUUGACGGGUAGCCGGCCUGAGAGGGUGACCGGCUACAUUGGGACUGAGAUACGGCCCAGACUCCUACGGGAGGCAGCGGUGGGGAAUAUUGCACAAUGGGCGGAAGCCUGAUGCAGCAACGCCGCGUGCGGGAUGACGGCCUUCGGGUUGUAAACCGCUUUCGCCUGUGACGAAGCGUGAGUGACGGUAAUGGGUAAAGAAGCACCGGCUAACUACGUG
rnacentral:rRNA from 1 species